GGGAAAGGAGGGGGGGUGGGGGCCGGGGAAAGCGAGCGGACUGGCCACAGUUAUUUGUGUCUUUGCCUCUGAGUUUUAGAUCAUACUAAGGAUGUUGGACUUCAUCCUGUGGUGUUACUGGAACCAUAAAGACUCUGGAAACAAAGACUCAUGGCAUGGUCAGAUCUGCACUUAGGAGCAGAGUGGAGGAAGGAUUUAUGGCUGCAAAAACAGUAGGAAGGUCAGCUUGAAAAAUACUGAAGGACCCUCUCAGUUGAAAGAUGGCAAGGCACUGGCAUGGGGGGAAAGAACAGAUUCAAAAUAUAGAAAAUAAGAUCGACAGGACUUGAUUGAUUGGCUGAGGGGUUGAGAGGAGAGAAUGAGGGUUUAGGGUGACUCUCAGGCUCCUAGCUUGGGUGACUGAGUAUGUGGAAUGGAGUGUUCCUUCUCAAAACUCUGGAAUAGCCUUCAUCAAAUAUUCGUGGCCUGCAAAUCCUUUAUCCACAAUUCCUAAAUUUAAAAAAAUUAUGAAAACCAAAAGCUUGACCGGGUACUGUGGUUUAUGCCCUUAAUCUCAGCACUUUGGGAGGCUGAGGUGGGUGGAUCACCUGAGGUCAGGAGUCCAAGACAAGCCGGCCAACAUAGCGAAACCCCGUCUCUACUAAAAAUACAAAAAUUACCUGGGCGUGGUGGCGCAUGCCUGUAAUCCCAGCUACUCGGGAGGUGGAGGCACGAGAAUCGCUUGAACCUGGGAAGCAGAAGUUGCAGUGAGCCGAGAUCGCGCCAUCGCACUCCAGCCUGG
rnacentral:lncRNA from 1 species